GCACUGCUGACGAGUCUCAAACAAGACGAAACAGCUCUAUCCAGUGC
rnacentral:hammerhead_ribozyme from 1 species